UGCACUCCGAGAGACCCAGAAGCGGAAUUGGCGAUGGUUUAGUUUCUUGGGUGGAUUAAUUGAUUUCCAGUCAGCCUCUGCUAAGCUUUCCAGGGAGCUCAAUAAACGAAGGCUAACACUGCCGUGCUUGUCCACCGUGAGAAAAAUCGUUUGGUAUAUUACAACCAGAGAUCAAACAGAGGAAAAUGCUAACAGAACAAAUUAAGCAUAAAAAUAGGAUCACCUGUGAAAACCGGAAGCAGAACCAGAAGUAGAUUUCCAGCCAUAAUAAGCAUUUAGAUUUGGCGAUUGGCCACCUUUGAUAUCUGGCACUGAGUAAACUCCUCUGUCAUUCAAAUCCACAAAGUCAGACUGUAAAGCACCAGCAAUAAGAGUGUCAUCAAAUGCAGUCAUAUGGGGGUAGGCUUCGCUUGGAGGGCAUUUACUUGACUCACAUUUCGAGCACUGGCUGCAAAGUCGCUUACUCUUCAAUUCUUGGUCAUCAUUUGAUGCAUAUGCACUAGUCAUUACCAGGACAAGUAGGUACAGAGAAAGGCAAUGCCAAUUCCUAUCCAUGCUUGUAGCCAUAGCUUCUCUACCUUGCCGCUCUCUCUCUCUCUCUCUUUCUCUCUCUCUCUCUCUCUCUCUCUCUAUAUACAUAUAUAUAGAUAUAUUGUUGGUAAUCCUAACAAGACAAUUACAUUGUUAUAUAUAACAAAACAUUUUUCUUGUUCUUGAUGUUAUCA